AUGCAGGUGUCGGCAAAAGAGAGACUUAAAAUCUAUUUCCACGCCAUCCUCUCAAUGGACUUCAAUCUUGACCAGAAUGAGGAUCGCCUUUUCAUAUGGGCAGGGGAGGAAACGGGGAGCUGGGAAUCCAAUGCAGUUGAGCUAACCGUGACAAAGGAACUGGGAGUGCAUGGAUUCUUAGUCGAAGGAAUCCUGGUCACUGACCAAGCUGCGUCCAUACCAUACCGAUAUAUUGUCUACAGUUCCAAAAAGGCAACGUAUGAGUACGAGUACAUUGACUCUACACAUCCCACCGGAAGAAGAAGUCUUUCUGUAAACACCAAUCUACUCGAUGAGGAAGGUAGGAGUUUUGUAGAAUUUCUACAACUGUUUUCAAUUGCAAUGGCUGCAUUUAAUUGGAACACAUGAGAUGACAGCUUUUGGGUGAUGCUCAUCCCAUUUUAGAACACUUUUUUUAGCUUUGUCACUAUGGGGUAUUGUGAUGUCAUUAUGGAGUAUUGUGAUGUCAUUAUGGGGUAUUGUGUGACGAUUGAUGAGGAAAAACAAACAAUUCAAUUUUAAAAUAAGGUUGUAACAUAACAAAGUGUGGAAAUAGUCAUGGGGUCUGAAUACUUUCCGAAUGCACUGUAGAUUCAGCUUUGAUCUGGCUUUAUUAAGCACCAUUCUCCAUUCAUCACAGAAAAUCGCCAGAGUAGCCUGUUCUUUGGGCAGCUGAACAAGUAGAGCAGAGAUUGUGCGUAAAGAACAAAAUCCCACUCGUACGCAUAAGCUUCAGACUUAAAACAAAAUAAUAAUCUAAACUAUUUUAGGUCAAACUCGACUGUAAAUCAAGUUGAAAUUAGUUUUGAGUCAAGUGCAUAGUAUUCCAUAUUUUAUUUUUUUUAGCAACAUGUCAACUUAUUUGUGCUGUCAAAAUGUCUCUUUCCUGCUUUGCCAAGAACAUCACAUAAAACAUGGGUUGGCUAAAGUGGCAUCUUCUUUUUGUUUGUGUGUGUCCACCCCACCCCUCCGCCACCCCACCCCUCCUCCACCCAUCCCUUCCUCCACCCCUCCUCCACCCCUCCUCC
rnacentral:lncRNA from 1 species